GAUUAGCAGACUCCAUAAUGAUACAAGAUUUAUUUUUCAUAUAUAUAAAGGGCUUGAAAAUCCCAAUAUGUGAAAUUAAAAUUUAGCUAGGCAUAGGCUGAUCCAGGAAUCUCUCACACUCAAUUCAAAGAAACAGUUCAGCUUCUCUCUCUCUCCUCUAUGUGUGGUGGGCUGGUAGCUAUUGCAGUCUCUGCAAUUACAGGAAGAUGAUUACAUAUAUACUCCUUCUAUGGUAUUAUUAGGAUCUGUGCCUUCGAUCCCAAGGCUUUCAAGAAAGGUGUUUGAAGAGAAAUGAUGACAACCAUGCUCAUAUCUCUUUCUUUUCUUUUCUUUUCUUUUCUUUUCUUUUCUUUUCUUUCUGUGUCUUCUCCCCACAUGUCUAAGGGCCGGUAUCCUUAUAUAUAUAGAUAUAGAUAUUGAAUUUUGGCAAUGCAUCAAACUUGAAUAGGAAUUUCAGGGUUCCAUGUUGUAUAUCUAUUGCUUAUUCUUUUCAGUACUGAAUGAUAAAGUCCUAUCUAGUGGUUGUGAAUGA